CCAAGAUUCUAAUUUCCAAGUUAGUGUUAGUUAAUUUUUAAUCUUUAGUUGAUGAUAGAACAUUAAUAUUUUUGUGUAAAACCCUCUGUCUUAAAAAUCAACCACAUACAAGGGAAAAAAUCCCAGAAAUGGUGACAUUUGGUUGUGCUUGGCCUGUACUCUGUUAUUGGACAGAGAAUCAGUCAGCUUCACUUUAAAGGCUCAUCCUCAACUACUACCAAAACUAAAACAGAGAAACCUUCAAAAUUACUGAAAUAAGAAAUUGGCACAAUUAAUGGAAAAUGAAACAUUUUUUAUACAAACAGCAAAUAAGGAAGCAGCUACAAAACAGUAAGUCCUCUUAUACCAACUAAGACUAACAACUAAGACAAUUAUUAUAAGUUUUUCUCACCAAAUCUCAGCUGGUAGUUCACCUGCCUCGCUUUUCGAGAAUGCAUUGUUGGAUCUCCAAGAAUUAUUGCACAAUAAAUAAAUCGUGGGAGCCCAUAAAUUGUUUACCAUUUCCCUGUAAAACCUUCAGUACCACACAGAUAGAAAUUAAGAUACCUGCCCAUAAACAUGCAGCAGAAGCUAAGAAAAGCAAUUGUUAACCUCGUAAGACAGAUGAAGGCAAGAAUGCAGAUCCAAUUCAACCCAAAGGUAGUUUUACUCUUCCCAUGUCUUCUCUUUCUCAUCGUCGUCGUAAUCAGAUCCAAGUCUUCGGGUGAACAACCACAAGCAUAUCUAUCAAAAAUUUCACAGUUGGAGCAACAUGGCAGCCAAACAUGCAAUUAUAAGAUUCCAAAAUCUCUUGCACAAACCAUCAUCCAUUAUUCAAUUUCAAAGAACGUCCCACAGCAA
rnacentral:lncRNA from 1 species